rnacentral:lncRNA from 1 species
GUUUCAAGUUUAUACAAAUGAUUUAUUUCCACACUUCCAAGGGACUAUUGCUGGCUGCCUCCAGGCUCAUAUCUACCUUAAAAGGUUAUGAAGGCUCAUUCCUCAGUUCUACACUCCAGGCUGGGUCUCUCAUUUGAAGAUAUUUCCAUGC